AGAGGAGCAAUACUUAGGGCACGAUGGCUUCUUUCUAAAAUAGAAGUUGUAUGGGGACAGGAAUUCCUAAGAAAAUGGAAACGUCACUCCCUAGAAACAGUUGAAGUUGACAGACCUAGAGGUUGACAAAAGGACACAACACUAGGGUUAAGACACAUAAAACUGCCACAUGGAGGUGCCAAUUGGUCAAAAAUCAGCAACUUCAUACUGUUCAACCUAAAAGAAGACCACCUUAGGGAAAACUGGCCACGGUUGCUUUACCUAUACCAAAGACCUCAACCAUCAGUACAGCAAGGUCUUGUAAUUCAGAGUCAACACUCUGCAAUCCUAUCUUCUAUUUUCUAACUAAACCUGUCAAGUCACAUUUAAGACCAUCCACAAAAAAAGAAGAUUGCACAGCUGUGACAUUGUCACCCCUACUGAGACCAAAGUAUACCUGGAAUUUACUAGUUAAGCAGUCUCAGAAAUCAGAGAUGGAUUGUUUAUAGAGUUGGAUUCAUUGCCAAUAAAUCUUAAAG
rnacentral:lncRNA from 1 species